AACGUAGGAGACAAACGUUAUCCGGAGUUACUGGGCGUAAAGGGCGUGUAGGUGGUUUAGUAAGUCUGGCGUGAAAUUUUUCGGCUUAACCGGGAAAGGUCGUCGGAUACUGCAAGACUAGAGGACGGUAGAGGCGUGUGGAAUUCCGGGUGUAGUGGUGAAAUGCGUAGAGAUCCGGAGGAACACCAGUGGCGAAGGCGGCCUUCUGGACCAAUACUGACGCUCAUGCACGAAAGCGUGGGGAGUAAACAGG
rnacentral:rRNA from 1 species